rnacentral:ncRNA from 1 species
CCUUUGGAGUGUCAUACCAAACUGUAGUAGCCCAGGCAAGGCAGGACACGUUGAAUAAGGAA